UGGGGAGCACCUCUGCCCCGCCGCCCCAUCUGGGAUGUGAGGAGCGCCUCGGCCCGGCCGCGACCCUGUCUGGGAGGUAUUGAAACCUCCACAAAAACCCCAAAAGGACAAGGUUUGAGGAGCUUCCGGAGAGCUGAACACAUGGAGGUCCCUGGAGGGUGGCAUCCUGGGGGGACAUGGAAGCUCUCCACCCCUCCCCCGUCCUUUGCCCUGUGCAUCUCCCCUCAUCUGUAUCCUUUGCCAAAUCCUUUAUAAUAAACCGGUAAACGUGUUUCCAUGAGUUCUGUGAGCCGCUCCAGCAAAUUAAUCAAACCCAAAGAGAGGGUUGUGGGAACCCCAACUUGAAGCCGGUGGGACAGAAACUCCAGAGGCUGGGACUCAUGACUGGUGUCUGACUGAGGGACUGUCUUGUAGGCUUGUGUCCUCAACCUGUGGGAUCCGAUACUGUUUCCAAGCAGACAGUGUCGGAAUUGAGUUAGAAGACACCUGGCUGGGGUCUGCUGCAGAAGGGAUAUGGGGGUGGGGG
rnacentral:lncRNA from 10 species